rnacentral:rRNA from 1 species
UACGAAGGGUGCAAACGUUGCUCGGAAUUAUUGGGCGUAAAGCGCACGUAGGCGGCUUAGCAAGUCGGAAGUGAAAGCCCUUGGCUCAACCAAGGAAGUGCUUUCGAAACUGCUGAGCUUGAGUAGUUAAGAGGAUCGCGGAAUUCCCGGUGUAGAGGUGAAAUUCGUAGAUAGCGGGAGGAACACCAGUGGCGAAGGCGGCGAUCUGGGAACAUACUGACGCUGAGGUGCGAAAGCGUGGGGAGCAAACAGG